AAUUAGAAUGGGCCAUUUGAGUUUCUUAAAAAAAUCCAAAAGAGGAAGGAGAGGCUUGUCCCCCUUCUCUCUCACUUUCUUUCUUCGGAAUUUGAACCUCAGGGGGAAAGUAAACCCUAUCCACCUUGCGACCACCACCGUUAGUAGGAGGUAAACACUGCCGCCGUCGUCUGCGCUGUUGAGCUUCCUUCCUUGUCUCGUCUUUGCUAUCAAGAUCUCGUUCCGCAGCGCAAACUGUCACCAGCCGCACCUUAUUCAUACAGAUCGGCGGCCGUCGUCGUCAUCCGCGGUACUGACUCGGUUGUCGUGCUCUGGAUCUUCCGGCAUCGUUUGGUAGUCGUGAUUCGAGUAGCUAACCCCUCCGUGAUUGACCUGUCGCCGGAGUUCCGGGAAAGGGAAAGAGGGUUCUUCCUCGUUGUGUCUCUCGUGGCGGUCUUCCUGGUGUUCACUGUCGUCGUCGUCCGUUGCCUCGAACCGUCCUUCCUCGUAUUCUGCUCUCCGCCUUCAUCGCAGGUUAUAGAUGUGUAUAAUUUUUGGUUUUCCAAGUAGACUUUAUGCCUUCACUGUCACUGUCCGUCCGUAUGGCUCAGUGCAGCAAUGACAUCCUCAACCGUGGGCAUUGCCUCCCCAUAUUCCGGUUGGGCUGUAGAAUGAUGUUCCGGAAGCCGCCUCCUCGAUGGUAGCUUCAUGGUGUGAGCGUUGAGACAUGGGUUUAGAGUCUUCGGUUGGCAACUAACGUGUAAAAGAAGCGCCCUUUCAGGCGUUGGAGAUUCCACAGCAUAUAUAGGCCUCAUGAUAGCUGCAUGUGGGACUGGAUAAUUUAAAAAAUUAAAGGGAUGAUAAAGCAUGGUCCAACUAUGUAUUUUCAUAUUAUUUAUUCAUUUUUAAGAUUAUUAUUUAUUUUAA